CUCACAUGAGCCAUGAGUGCAAUCAAGGAGCAAAAGCUCCAGCAUAAAGUUGCCUCUUUUUUUUUGGUUGCAAGUAUAUAAGAACAGUACAUGUACUAUAUUCAAACAGUUAAAGACAUACGAUGCUAAGAUGCACUAUAUGUGAGGUGACCGGUAUGGCAUUAUACAUAUUAAAGAACGGUUUCAAACUAAAAGCAAAAACAUAUUAAGUAUUUGUUGUCGUGUAAAUCACAGGCUAAGUAUCUGGCUAUGGGUUUGCGCCUUGACUGGUUAUAUAACAUAUUCGUACAGAGAUGAAACUGUCUAGAGCAAGGUAGG